UGUUAGUGGAACGGUCUGGAAAGUCCGACGGUACAGGGUGAUAGUCCCGUACACCAAAAUGCACAGGUUGUGAACUCGAAGAGUAGGGCGGGACACGUGGUAUCCUGUCUGAAUAUGGGGGGACCAUCCUCCAAGGCUAAAUACUCCUGACUGACCGAUAGUGAACCAGUACCGUGAGGGAAAGGCGAAAAGAACCCCGGCGAGGGGAGUGAAAAAGAACCUGAAACCGUGUACGUACAAGCAGUGGGAGCACCUUCGGGUGUGACUGCGUACCUUUUGUAUAAUGGGUCAGCGACUUAUAUUCUGUAGCAAGGUUAACCGUAUAGGGGAGCCGCAGGGAAACCGAGUCUUAACUGGGCGUUAAGUUGCAGGGUAUAGACCCGAAACCCGGUGAUCUAGCCAUGGGCAGGUUGAAGGUUGGGUAACACUAACUGGAGGACCGAACCGACUAAUGUUGAAAAAUUAGCGGAUGACUUGUGGCUGGGGGUGAAAGGCCAAUCAAACCGGGAGAUAGCUGGUUCUCCCCGAAAGCU
rnacentral:rRNA from 1 species